rnacentral:rRNA from 1 species
ACGAACGCUGGCGGCACGCUUAACACAUGCAAGUCGAACGGAGUUAUCGAGAGCUUGCUUUGAUAACUUAGUGGCGGACGGGUGAGUAACACGUGAGCAAUCUGCCCUUAAGAGGGGGAUAGCAGUUGGAAACGACUGAUAAUACCGCAUAAGAUAGUAGUACCGCAUGGUACAGCUAUAAAAGAUUUAUCGCUUAAGGAUGAGCUCGCGUCUGAUUAGCUAGUUGGUGAGGUAACGGCUCACCAAGGCAACGAUCAGUAGCCGGACUGAGAGGUUGGACGGCCACAUUGGGACUGAGACACGGCCCAGACUCCUACGGGAGGCAGCAGUGGGGAAUAUUGCACAAUGGAGGGAACUCUGAUGCAAGCGAUGCCGCGUGAGGGAAGAAGGUUUUAGGAUUGUAAACCUCUGUUGACAGGGACGAUAAUGACGGUACCUGCUGAGGAAGCUCCGGCUAACGGUACGUGCCAGCCGCUGC